rnacentral:misc_RNA from 1 species
GAUGAAGAACGUAGCGAAAUGCGAUAAGUAAUGUGAAUUGCAGAAUUCAGUGAAUCAUCGAAUCUUUGAACGCACAUUGCGCCCGCCAGUAUUCUGGCGGGCAUGCCUGUCCGAGCGUCAUUUCAACCCUCAAGCCCCCGGGCUUGGUGUUGGAGAUCGGCGAGCCCCCCGGGGCGCGCCGUCCCCUAAAUCUAGUGGCGGUCUCGCUGUAGCUUCCUCUGCGUAGUAGCACACCUCGCACUGGGAAACAGCGCGGCCACGCCGUUAAACCCCCAACUUCUGAACGUUUGACCUCGGAUCAGGUAGGAAUACCCGCUGAACUUAAGCAUAUCAAUAAGCGGAGGA